AGUUUUUACACUUUCAUAGGAAUCCUGUGCUCAGCUCUCACCAAAGUCGAGGGCUGAAUGUACGGUCUAUAUACUGCAUUGAGUGUAUGCAACAUUACUUGCCAUGUUGUUGUGUUUUAAAAUUAUACAAGGUCUCAGCUUGUUUACAUUUUUGCAAUUGUGUUUGCAAUGCCGAUUGACAAUCUGGCCCCAUAGAAUUUAAAGGAGUAGCAACCUCUGGUGUCAUCCCUGGUGCAUGUACCUUCCUCAGAAAUUUGGGAAGAUUUGUAUCCAAUGUUUUAAUACAACUGAACAGCAGAGAGGCAGAACAAUCCUGCAUCGGAUCCUGUUAUACCCCAAUCCAAGCUGCAAGGAGAGGCAGGUGAACUUUUCCCCUCAACAUUGAAGAUUCAAUAAUUAUUUCACAGCUGUUGGGGCUCUUUUUAACUCUGAUUCACUUCAGAAGAAAUAAAUGCCAGCACUGAAGGAUUUUUUCCCAGACCCACGAUGCUAUCUUCAUACAAAGGCAAAGACCGUUGAUCACAAUAGUUUUAUUUGUUGCAGGCAAAGUUUCUGAAAUGCAUAUUUGAAGGAGUGGGUAGAAUGGGUUGCAAGUAAUAAGAUAAAUAAACAUAAAAAGUCCUACAUGCAUUCCAGUAUGUCAGGUGCUUAUUUUCCCAUCAUCUGCAGAAUUUUCCAAACUUUGGGAGAAAAAAAAUAUGCAAAAUAAUGAGAAUACAAAUGUAGAAUUGCUGUACAUUCUGUACAUUUGUAAACAAUAAAAUUGGCAUUUUCUCAA